ACGAUUCCUCGUUAGGAUGAGGCGUUAGCACAAACAAAAGCUACUGCCCAGAAACGUCGAAAGACGCCAAUGUGGUAGACCAGGUCUGGCCGGAUUAAGGCUUUACUUAAGGUAGCUGGUGAUUACACCUACGUUGUGCUCUGCCAAAACUCGACCAGGGGGGAAGUCA
rnacentral:sRNA from 2 species